rnacentral:rRNA from 1 species
GGGUUGUGAGGUUAAGCGACUAAGCGUACACGGUGGAUGCCCUGGCAGUCAGAGGCGAUGAAGGACGUGCUAAUCUGCGAUAAGCGUCGGUAAGGUGAUAUGAACCGUUAUAACCGGCGAUUUCCGAAUGGGGAAACCCAGUGUGAUUCGUCACACUAUCAUUAACUGAAUCCAUAGGUUAAUGAGGCGAACCGGGGGAACUGAAACAUCUAAGUACCCCGAGGAAAAGAAAUCAACCGAGAUUCCCCCAGUAGCGGCGAGCGAACGGGGAGCAGCCCAGAGCCUGAAUCAGUGUGUGUGUUAGUGGAAGCGUCUGGAAAGGCGCGCGAUACAGGGUGACAGCCCCGUACACAAAAAUGCACAUGCUGUGAGCUCGAUGAGUAGGGCGGGACACGUGGUAUCCUGUCUGAAUAUGGGGGGACCAUCCUCCAAGGCUAAAUACUCCUGACUGACCGAUAGUGAACCAGUACCGUGAGGGAAAGGCGAAAAGAACCCCGGCGAGGGGAGUGAAAAAGAACCUGAAACCGUGUACGUACAAGCAGUGGGAGCACGCUUAGGCGUGUGACUGCGUACCUUUUGUAUAAUGGGUCAGCGACUUAUAUUCUGUAGCAAGGUUAACCGAAUAGGGGAGCCGAAGGGAAACCGAGUCUUAACUGGGCGUUAAGUUGCAGGGUAUAGACCCGAAACCCGGUGAUCUAGCCAUGGGCAGGUUGAAGGUUGGGUAACACUAACUGGAGGACCGAACCGACUAAUGUUGAA